AUCACCUGCGGAUCCUGUUAAAAUACAGAUUCUGAUCCUGUAGAUCUGGGGGUACUGAGAUUCUGCAUUUGUAACAAGCUCCCAGGUGAUGC
rnacentral:miRNA from 1 species